rnacentral:rRNA from 1 species
CCUACGGGUGGCAGCAGUGGGGAAUAUUGGGCAAUGGGCGCAAGCCUGACCCAGCAACGCCGCGUGAAGGAAGAAGGCUUUCGGGUUGUAAACUUCUUUUCUGAGGGACGAAGAAAGUGACGGUACCUCAGGAAUAAGCCACGGCUAACUACGUGCCAGCAGCCGCGGUAAUACGUAGGUCGCAAGCGUUAUCCGGAUUUCUUGGGUGUAAAGGGCGUGUAGGCGGGAAAGCAAGUCAGAUGGGAAAACUCAGGGCUCAACCCUGAGCCUGCAUUUGAAACUGUUUUUCUUGAGUGCUGGAGAGGCAAUCGGAAUUCGGGGUGUAGCGGUGAAAUGCGUAGAUAUACGGAGGAACACCGGUGGCGAAGGCAGAAUACUGGAGAGUAACUGACGCUGAGGCGCGAAAGCGUGGGGAGCGAACAGGAUUAGAUACCCUAGUAGUC